GGACUACCGGGGUAUCUAAUCCUGUUUGCUACCCACGCUUUCGUGUCUCAGCGUCAGAAGUGGUCCAGUAAGCUGUCUACACCACAGGUGUUCCUCCUGAUAUCUACGCAUUUCACCGCUACACCAGGAAUUCCGCUUACCUCUCCCACCCUCGAGCACCCCAGUUUUCGAUGCACCCUCCCAGUUGAGCCGGGAGAUUUCACACCAAACUUAGAGCACCGCCUACACACUCUUUACGCCCAGUAAUUCCGAACAACGCUUGCUGCCUACGUAUUACCGCGGCUGCUGGCAC
rnacentral:rRNA from 1 species